AUGCCAUGGUGAGGGCAAUUGGUGCAAAGCAUCUUAAAAUCUAUCCCAUGCUUGGUAAAAAUUUUCAUCCUUUUGUUGUUGAAAAUCAGCAAUUCGUUGUCUUCCUUU
rnacentral:snoRNA from 1 species